CGAAUUUGGUAGUUUCGAUUGGAUGAUGGAAAUGGCGAAAUGAAGAGAUGGGGGACGAUGAGGCUUUCGUUGGCGCUUCACAGCGGCGCGGAGGUGCUUGUGGGCGUAAGGGGCCGAGAUUUGGAACGCCGGGGAGAUGCUGGCGACCUUGGGUGAUGACCAGCAGAUGGAGGUUGGGAUUGGCCAGACGUUGAUAGGGAGUGGCUCGGAGUUGCAGGAGAUGGUGAGCUGGAGGAUGAGGAGGAUGUUCAGCUUCAUUAUCGCCGCCAUGGUGUUUGAUGAAAUGCCUCUGAUAAUUGCAGCAAUAAAAGCAAGCUGUAUGCAAAAAAUCUGCCCAUGUAUCAUAAUGCUGAUUUAGAAGGUAUUGCUGCAUUAUGCAAUGGAUAUGCUGGUGCGAAUUUGGUUGGUGAUUUUGCAAGAUCUGAGGUAGGUGCAAGUAUUACAAGAGGUGCUUGUGCUUCUAAGGAAGUUUCAAAGUUCUCAUGGGAUGAUAUCAGGGUACUAAAAAGUUUAAGGGAUAUCACUGGUGUGGCGUAUUCUCUUACAUGGACCUUUGGGCUGCUCAAAGUAUGUUGGGGAAGGAUAACCCUUGCUAUGUUUAACAUUUCCAAAAGCACGUUUGGCAGCACCAAGUAUCAUAUUCUUUGAUAAGGCUGUGGCAGUUGCUCCUAAAUGGUUGAAGAUGUUGCAUCUGUCGACUGAUGUCAGUGGACAAAAUCUAAACAUCAUGUGACUCAAGAGAUUUGAUUGAUGCUAGCUGGAUCAUUUUUCGGGUGGUGAUCAGGGACCUGGCACUGUCAAAUGGAAUGAAGGUAGUUCAAAGAUGAUCUCUCAUCUACCAUUUUACAUUCUCAGUGAACAAGAAGAUAUCCUUUGACGUCCUGAUCAAGAUUUUGUCGUUUAAAACACAACCUGUUGAAAUGUUUGCAUUGACUUCCAAUCCAUUUAUUUUGAAGAAAAGCCAUUGCAUUGAUGAACGUCUAUAAAAGUCCAUUCUAUGAAGUUAAAGUUUGAGUUAAAUGUGUGGUUUUGUACCUUAAACCGACUUGCAGGUGCUUGACCUUGAUUUGUCUCCUUCCUCUAUGAUUUCACAGCUUAUGUUUACUGACCUUGAUUAAAAAUAAUGAUUCCAAACAUUUCUCAUAA